rnacentral:rRNA from 1 species
CACGUAGGCGGACUAUUAAGUCAGGGGUGAAAUCCCGGGGCUCAACCCCGGAACUGCCUUUGAUACUGGUAGUCUUGAGUUCGAGAGAGGUGAGUGGAAUUCCGAGUGUAGAGGUGAAACUCGUAGAUAUUCGGAGGAACACCAGUGGCGAAGGCGGCUCACUGGCUCGAUACUGACGCUGAGGUGCGAAAGCGUGGGGAAGCAAACA